UGAGGAAUAUUGGUCAAUGGGCGAGAGCCUGAACCAGCCAAGUCGCGUGAAGGAAGACAGUCCUAAGGAUUGUAAACUUCUUUUAUACGGGAAUAACGGGCGAUACGAGUAUUGCAUUGAAUGUAACGUAAGAAUAAGCAUCGGCUAACUCCGUGCCAGCAGCCGCGGUAAUACGGAGGAUGCGAGCGUUAUCCGGAUUUAUUGGGUUUAAAGGGUGCGUAGGUUGUUCGGUAAGUCAGCGGUGAAACCUGAGCGCUCAACGUUCAGCCUGCCGUUGAAACUGCCGGGCUUGAGUUCAGUGGCGGCAGGCGGAAUUCGUGGUGUAGCGGUGAAAUGCAUAGAUAUCACGAGGAACUCCGAUUGCGAAGGCAGCUUGCCAUACUGCGACUGACACUGAAGCACGAAGGCGUGGGUAUCAAACAGG
rnacentral:rRNA from 1 species